rnacentral:rRNA from 1 species
AUUGAACGCUCGCGGAAUGCCUAACACAUGCAAGUCGAACGGAGUGGCGGACGGGUGAGUGAUAUAUUGGAAAGUGCCUAAUAGCGGGGGAUAACUCCUCGAAACAGUAGCUAAUACCGCCAACCAUAUGAUCGGCCGAUCUCGGAUUAGCUAGUUGGGGGGGUAAAGGCUCACCAAGGCAACGAUCCCUAGCUGGUCUGAGAGGAAGACCAGCCACACUGGGACUGAGACACGGUCCAGACUCCUACGUGAGGCAGCAGUGGGGAAUUUUGGACAAUGGGGGAAACCCUGAUCCAGCCAUCCCGCGUGUAUGAAGAAGGCCGUCGGGUUGUAAAGUACUUUCGGCAGAGAAGCGUUAUCUGCAGAAUAAGCACCGGCUAACUACGUGCCAGCAGCCGCGGUAAUUC